rnacentral:rRNA from 1 species
UGAGGAAUUUUGCGCAAUGGGGGCAACCCUGACGCAGCAACGCCGCGUGAGCGAAGAAGGCCUUCGGGUCGUAAAGCUCUGUCUAGUGGGAAAAAAGUCUUCCGGUAAAUAGCCGGAAGAUCUGAUGGUACCGCUGGAGGAAGCACCGGCUAACUCCGUGCCAGCAGCCGCGGUAAUACGGAGGGUGCAAGCGUUGUUCGGAAUUAUUGGGCGUAAAGGGCGUGUAGGCGGUUUGGUAAGUCAGAUGUGAAAGCCCUGGGCUUAACUCAGGAAGUGCAUUUGAAACUGCCAUCCUUGAGUAUGGGAGAGGAGAGUGGAAUUCCCAGUGUAGAGGUGAAAUUCGUAGAUAUUGGGAGGAACACCCGUGGCGAAGGCGACUCUCUGGACCAAUACUGACGCUGAGACGCGAAAGCGUGGGGAGCAAACAGG